UGAAAUUACUGAAGGUGAACCCGUCUAUGAAAACAUGAACCCGGCCACGAGAACUUGAUCGUGUCUUAAAAAACAUGUCCACACUAAAUCUACAAUAACAUGUUCACAAAACAUGUCAGCAAGAACAUGUCUUCACCAAAAUGUCUACACUAUCUCAUCCAAUUUUUUUUUGUCAUCCGUUGUUUCAUUGAUUUCAAACUAGAAAAGCCAAAAGGCAUGUUACAACGACACCAAUUCUAGAGCCUAAAGCCGACGGUUUAGAGAUAUAACCUCGGAGCCAUAAGCCGGUGAUUGCACAGAAACAAUCCCGGAAACAAACCACAUUAGAAAACACUUAAACUAAUAUGCAAAGACUACACGAACAUGGACAAUAUUAAAGACUGAACACACUAGAGGAGACUCAAACCUAGCCAAAGAGAGAAGCGACACCGGCCUGAUAGAUAUGGAUAACCGUUGCUGUAUGUAGAUUGCAUCUUAUAUGCGCCUGAACCCCACCAACCUCCUCCAAAGCCAACUAAACUCGCCAUUGGACUUUGAACCAAGGUUACCAUGCAUGCACCUUCUACACGCCUCCGCUCCACUCACUCCCUCCAGAUCCAACUAAAACUUGCCAUUGACCUCUGAACGAGUUCACCACGCGCCUCAGAACCACGGCAAGGCCAAACAAACCAUACAAGACACGCUCAUACUCAGAACAGCCGGUAACCCCAAAUCCACCACCACAUACCGUAGAUCUGACGAGAUCGACGCCUAUGAAAUCCGAUUUGAGACUCUCUGCUUCAAUCCGAAGAUUCGAAGCUUUUGACCAGAUCUGAACCCUCUAGACUAAAAUACAAAACUUAAACCAGACUGAAACAAACGAGAAAUGGUGUCCACCUUCUCACGGUACCAAUAGCACGAGACCAUCGACCGGAGAAGAUGGAGAACGAAGACUUCUCUUCUUUUUCUCUCUCGCUCUCCACACUAUCUCAUCCAUAAACAUACUAAAAUUGCUAGACAUAGAAAUAUUAUUAUAUACAUCUACAUUAUACGUUUUUGCAUCAGACAAGAUUCACCAAACAAUACUUUGCAUCAAUCCACAACUCUUUCAUC
rnacentral:lncRNA from 1 species